UACGAAGGGGGCUAGCGUUGCUCGGAAUCACUGGGCGUAAAGCGCACGUAGGCGGCUUCUUAAGUCAGGGGUGAAAUCCUGGAGCUCAACUCCAGAACUGCCUUUGAUACUGAGGAGCUUGAGUCCGGGAGAGGUGAGUAGAACUCCGAGUGUAGAGGUGAAAUUCGUAGAUAUUCGGAAGAACACCAGUGGCGAAGGCGGCUCACUGGCCCGGUACUGACGCUGAGGUGCGAAAGCGUGGGGAGCAAACAGG
rnacentral:rRNA from 1 species